CGUAGGUGGCAAGCGUUGUCCGGAGUUACUGGGUGUAAAGGGCGUGCAGGCGGGAAGAUAAGUCAGAUGUGAAAUUCCAUGGCUCAACUGUGGCGCUGCAUCUGAAACUAUUUUUCUUGAGUGAUGGAGAGGAAAGUGGAAUUCCUAGUGUAGCGGUGAAAUGCGUAGAUAUUAGGAGGAACACCAGUGGCGAAGGCGACUUUCUGGACAUUAACUGACGCUGAGGCGCGAAAGCGUGGGGAGCAAACAGGAUUAGAUACCCUGGUAGUCCACGCUGUAAACGAUGGAUACUAGGUGUAGGAGGUAUCGACCCCUUCUGUGCCGGAGUUAACACAAUAAGUAUCCCACCUGGGGAGUACGGCCGCAAGGUUG
rnacentral:rRNA from 1 species